rnacentral:tRNA from 1 species
UCCCCAGUAACUCAGUCGGUAGAGUGGCAGACUGUUAAUCUGUAAGUCGCAAGUUCGAGCCUUGCCUGGGGAGCCA